CUAUCGGGCAAGUCUCUGGUUUAGGCGUUGGUACGGGAGACGGAGGCGGAGGAGGACAUGGGGUUGGUGGAGGUGGCGGUGGUGGACAUGGCGUCUCUGGGGUUGGAGUUGGCGGUGGCGGCGGCUUCACGGUGGGUGGUUUUGGAGUGUACGGUGGAGGAGAAGGUGUUGGGGUUGGAGUGUACGGAGGUGGAGGCUUGACGGUGGGCGGUUUUGGUGUGUGAGGAGGUGGUUUAGGAGUGUAAGGAGGUGGUUUAACGGUGGGUGGCUUAGGAGUGUAAGGAGGUGAUUUUGGGGUGUGGUGAGGAGGUGGUUUAGGAGUGUGAUGAGGAGGUGGUUUAGGAGUGUGAUGAGGAGGUGGUUUAGGAGUAUGAUGAGGAGGUGGUUUGACGGUUGGUGGUUUAGGCGGUUUAACGGGAUGUUUAGGCGGUUUAACGGGGUGUGGAGAUGGUUUGGGAGGGUCACUACAGUCACAAGCGUAAGAGACUGCAAGGAAACCAAGGAGGAUGAGUAUCACAAAGGAGGAGUUUUGCUUGUGAAGAAGCCCCAUGUUGAGAAAGAUGGUUUAGGGUUUG
rnacentral:lncRNA from 1 species